rnacentral:RNase_P_RNA from 1 species
AAACUCCACCCGGAGCAAGGCCAAAUAGGGGUUCACAUGGUACGGCCCGUACUGAACCCGGGUAGGCUGCUUGAGCCAGUGAGCGAUUGCUGGCCUAGACGAAUGACUGUCCACGACAGAACCCGGCUUACCGGUCAACUCCACUC